AUUGAACCCUGGCGGCAUGCUUAACACAUGCAAGUCGAACGGUAACAGGCCCUUCGGGGUGCUGACGAGUGGCGGACGGGUGAGUAAUGCUUAGGAAUCUGCCUAGUAGUGGGGGAUAACCCGGGGAAACUCGGGCUAAUACCGCAUACGCCCUACGGGGAAAGGCGGGGACGUUUCGGGCCUCGCGCUAUUAGAUGAGCCUAAG
rnacentral:rRNA from 1 species